rnacentral:rRNA from 1 species
UGGGGAAUAUUGGACAAUGGGCGAAAGCCUGAUCCAGCAAUGCCGCGUGAGUGAUGAAGGCCUUAGGGUUGUAAAGCUCUUUUACCAGGGAUGAUAAUGACAGUACCUGGAGAAUAAGCUCCGGCUAACUACGUGCCAGCAGCCGCGGUAAUACGGAGGGAGCUAGCGUUGUUCGGAAUUACUGGGCGUAAAGCGCACGUAGGCGGCGAUUCAAGUCAGGGGUGAAAGCCCGGGGCUCAACCCCGGAACUGCCUUUGAAACUAGAUUGCUAGAAUCCUGGAGAGGCGAGUGGAAUUCCGAGUGUAGAGGUGAAAUUCGUAGAUAUUCGGAAGAACACCAGUGGCGAAGGCGACUCGCUGGACAGGUACUGACGCUGAGGUGCGAAAGCGUGGGGAGCAA